AGCAGUAUCAGACCAAGGUCAGGGGUGUGAGAAGUGACUUGGCAUCAUGAGAAUCUCAACAGGCAUCAAAAGAACUUGGCUCUGCUGCAAAUUUCCACAGAUCCCCAGGCCAUGUAAGUGGAGGGAAAGGAUGUGUCUCUCAAGCAGCCAGAGAGAUCUUGAAGCACCUGGUAAGUACCCCAAAAAUAUGAUUGAAGUAGAUUGGUGGAUGGAUUCAGCACAUUACACAUCAACCUCCAACCCAUGAGAUGAUACCUGUUCUGUGAAAAGAAGAAGAGGGGUGGAUUGACUACAAAGCUACCACACUUCACCAGCCAUUCUAAGGUCAGGCAUGUCCUCUUUCAAGAAGAAAGGAGAUGUUUCAGCCACUGCCCCAGACUGGAAGGUCACCCUCUCCACCCUAGUGUCCACCUGGGGGUUCAAGAACAUGCAGACUGCCAGACCUACCUCCAUAUCCGCCAAGCCUAGCAAGAACACAUCUUGGAGAAUCUUCUACAAUAUUCAGAUCCUAUCUUUGUCCCAAGGAGAAAGAUCUGAAUGGGUCACUGCCUAGUUUCCAUCUCAGAAGACCACUUUUGACCCCAAUCACAUGGAUACCUCCAUAUCCUCCAAACUGGACAGGCUUUGUGAGAGCCGGGCUUGCCUCCUAGCCAGAAACACCCAACCAUCCUCCAGUCUGCAACAGAGGAAGUUACAGA